ensembl:lncRNA
CUUCAACAAUUAUUACCGUUCAAGACUGGGUUUACAUUUGAUUUUCCACUUAGCAGUGAGUUUCUUCAAUGGAAGGAAUGAAUUUACAUCAUUUGAAGCAAGGUCUGUAUGUACCUGAUGAAGGACCUGAUGCUCCCCAUUUCAAUAGGUACUGAGAAGAGGAGUGAAGAGAGAUAUGAUUACUGCUUUCCUGGCUCUUCCCAGUUGGAGUGACUCCAUCCAUGAGGUAACUGGAGACUGCCAGGACAAAGAACUCUGGUUCCCACUGCCUACUGCGAUUCACCUGUCCCAACAUUCCAACAUUUACAGUGGGUGCACAGCUCAGGUUUUUAGUCUGGGCCACUUAUAACAUAAACUUUUG